GACGAACGCUGGCGGCGUGCUUAACACAUGCAAGUCGAACGGAAAGGCCCUGCUUUUGUGGGGUGCUCGAGUGGCGAACGGGUGAGUAACACGUGAGUAACCUGCCCUUGACUUUGGGAUAACUUCAGGAAACUGGGGCUAAUACCGGAUAGGAGCUCCUGCUGCAUGGUGGGGGUUGGAAAGUUUCGGCGGUUGGGGAUGGACUCGCGGCUUAUCAGCUUGUUGGUGGGGUAGUGGCUUACCCAGGCUUUGACGGGUAGCCGGCCUGAGAGGGUGACCGGCCGCAUUGGGACUGAGAGACGGCACAGACUGCUACGGGAGGAAGCAGGGGGGAAUAUUGCACAAUGGGCGGAAGCCGGAUGCAGCAACGCCGCGUGCGGGAUGACGGCCUUCGGGGUGUAAACCGCUUUCGCCUGUGACGAAGCGUGAGUGACGGUAAUGGGUAAAGAAGCACCGGCUAACUACGUG
rnacentral:rRNA from 1 species